GGAUCUAUCCAUUGGUCGGGCCUCACGGUCCGUACUGGUGUUAUGGAUUCCUACCUUCUGAAUAACCGGGAUGUCAUUAAUUUGGUGUGCCGGGGAAGCAGGACUGUUACCUUGAAAAAAUUAGAGUGCUUAAAGCAGGCUUUUGCCUGAAUACAUUAGCAUGGAAUAAUGAAAUAGGACGCAUGAUUCUAUUUUGUUGGUUUCUAGGAUCACCGUAAUGAUUAAUAGGGAUAGUUGGG
rnacentral:rRNA from 1 species